CACAACGGCACUUGACAGUCUGGAAUAGUCUGUACACUACUGUAAAAAUACACUCGGCAUCUUAGCACGAGUAUAAAUGCAUUCUACACUAUUCUGAGUAUUCACCGCCUACAAACUGCGGCGAUACAAACAAACUACGGCUUCUAGAGCUAAAUCUGAUAGUUUGAGCAAUUGACGGUAUAGAAUCGAUAGUUUUCUCCUAAGUCAAUUCCCAAUCCAACAUGUAUAAUUUAUCUAAAUCACUACUAUAUGCUCCAAAUUCAUAUUUCAAUAAGCAAACAAAUCGAUGAAUUCGAGCUAACAUAACAU
rnacentral:lncRNA from 1 species